GAUGAACGCUGGCGGCGUGCUUAACACAUGCAAGUCGAACGGUGAACACGGGGCUUGCUUUGUGGGAUCAGUGGCGAACGGGUGAGUAACACGUGAGCAACCUGCCCCUGACUCUGGGAUAAGCGCUGGAAACGGCGUCUAAUACUGGAUAUGUGACGUGACCGCAUGGUCUGCGUUUGGAAAGAUUUUUCGGUUGGGGAUGGGCUCGCGGCCUAUCAGCUUGUUGGUGAGGUAAUGGCUCACCAAGGCGUCGACGGGUAGCCGGCCUGAGAGGGUGACCGGCCACACUGGGACUGAGACACGGCCCAGACUCCUACGGGAGGCAGCAGUGGGGAAUAUUGCACAAUGGGCGCAAGCCUGAUGCAGCAACGCCGCGUGAGGGAUGACGGCCUUCGGGUUGUAAACCUCUUUUAGCAGGGAAGAAGCGAAAGUGACGGUACCUGCAGAAAAAGCGCCGGCUAACUACGUG
rnacentral:rRNA from 1 species